AGUGAACGCUGGCGGUAGGCCUAACACAUGCAAGUCGAACGGCAGCACAGUAAGAGCUUGCUCUUACGGGUGGCGAGUGGCGGACGGGUGAGGAAUACAUCGGAAUCUACUUUUUCGUGGGGGAUAACGUAGGGAAACUUACGCUAAUACCGCAUACGACCUACUGGUGAAAGCAGGCGAUCUUCGGACCUUGCGCGAUUGAAUGCGCCGAUGUCGGAUUAGCUAGUUGGCGGGGUAAAGGCCCACCAAGGCGACGAUCCGUAGCUGGUCUGAGAGGAUGUUCAGCCACACUAGAACUGAGACACGGUCCAGACUCCUACGGGAGGCAGCAGUGGGGAAUAUUGGACAAUGGGCGCAAGCCUGAUCCAGCCAUACCGCGUGAGUGAAGAAGGCCUUCGGGUUGUAAAGCCCUUUUGUUGGGAAAGAAAAGCAGCAGGUUAAUACCCCGCUGUUCUGACGGUACCCAAAGAAUAAGCACCGGCUAACUUCGUG
rnacentral:rRNA from 1 species